rnacentral:rRNA from 1 species
AAUGCCGAAUUCGUGAAUCAUGAAAUCUCUGAACGCACAUUGCGCCCCUUGGCAUUCCUUGGGGCAUGCCUGUUCGAGCGUCACU